AAGGAAGUGGCAGAGUGGUCAUGCAGUUGGCUUGAAACCAUCUUACGGGGGUUCGAUUCCUCCCUUUCUCG
rnacentral:tRNA from 1 species